rnacentral:rRNA from 1 species
AAAGGAAUUGACGGGGGCCCGCACAAGCAGCGGAGCAUGUGGUUUAAUUCGAAGCAACGCGAAGAACCUUACCAGAGCUUGACAUCGUCUGAAUUACCCGUAAUGGGGGAAGUCCUUCGGGACAGAUAGACAGGUGGUGCAUGGUUGUCGUCAGCUCGUGUCGUGAGAUGUUGGGUUAAGUCCCGCAACGAGCGCAACCCCUAUUGCUAGUUGCCAUCAUUAAGUUGGGCACUCUAGUGAGACUGCCGGAGACAAUUCGGAGGAAGGUGGGGAUGACGUCAAAUCAUCAUGCCCCUUAUGUUCUGGGCUACACACGUGCUACAAUGGGUGUAACAACGGGAAGCAAGCCGGCAACGGUAAGCCAACCUCUAAAAAGCACCCUCAGUUCGGAUUGCAGGCUGAAACCCGCCUGCAUGAAGUUGGAGUUGCUAGUAAUCGCGAAUCAGCAUGUCGCGGUGAAUACGUUCCCGGGCCUUGUACACACCGCCCGU